rnacentral:lncRNA from 1 species
CCUCUUGAUUUAAUUUCAAUAAAACAAAUCAAAAGUCUUCUGAUUGUUUAAAGAUUGAAGAUUCAAAGUUCAAGAGUCUUUGCAUUCUCUCUCAAACCUCCUCCUUAUUGAAGGCAUGCGAAGGUUAUUUCAAGCUUUGGGCUUUGCUUGUUUUUGUUUAAUAUAUGGAGUAUUAUGCUUUGCCGGCCAGGUUGCAUUUUUCAAAACUACGGAACGGUUGGAAUAG